rnacentral:pre_miRNA from 14 species
GCCUGUUCCCUGAGACCUCAAGUGUGAGCGUUCUGAACAUGCUUCACGCCUGGGCUCUCCGGGUACCAGG